rnacentral:lncRNA from 1 species
AGGUACACAGGAUGUAUGUAGGCUUGCUACGGGUCCCGGCGGCCUUAAGCCGAUCUGGAUCCUAGCGCCGGUAACGGGUCGGAUUUCCGGGUCGUUACAAAAAGGAUGGAGACAUUCUCCUAUGGAUCAUUAAGCAUGCCAAAGCUAGAGAAGGUUAUGAUAAAUGAAAGGCGGCAUCAAUUAAUGGGAUCUGAUCCAAACCUUAAUGCAAAAAUGAGUGAGUUAUUAAGAGGUAUGAUUCAUUUCCUCAUGCCUUUAUUUAGAAUGGUAAAUUUUUAGAGAAUUCAAGUGAAUUAUUUUUUUUUUUUAAUUUUUGUGUUUAGAAAAAUUAAGAAUAUAAGAACUCUUUAAAAUUUUUGUGAGAAUUGAUUUUGAAUUAAAAAGUAAAUCUUGUAAGAAUUUUAUAAUAAAUGAUUUUAUUUAAAUUUAUUUGCAUUAAAAUUACUUAAUUAAGAACUCCACUUUUCUCUUCUUUUAUUCUAUUUUUUGUUUAUUUUUUUUAAUUUAAUUUAAUAUUUAAUAUAUUUAUAAUUGAUAUGGACAAUUUUAUUUUAUUUUUUUCUUAAAUUAUCCAUCUUAAUGUAAUUUUUUAGUAGUAAAAAAGUAAUGUAAAGAUCAUAUUUUAAAUAUUGCAAAAUAUUAAUAAUGGUGUUCAAAAUUAUUUUCAAUAUGAUAAAAUGAUUGUUAUUUAUGAAAUAAAUAUUUAUAUUUUAGUUUAAAAAUAAUAAGGAUAAUAAAAAAUAAAUUAAUUUAAAUUUAUUAUUAAUUUGUUCAAAAUAAAAUAAAAUCAAUUGAAUUCUAUCAUUUUAAAAUUUAUUUCAAACAAAAAAAUUUUUCUAUAAAUAGAAAAAAAAUUGUAUUCUAAAGAAGGGGAAUAGAUUUGACUCUUCCUCUAUCUAAGCAUUGCUUUUCUUUAGUUAUCAUAUGUCUUUUGAAAUUGUGAAUUUAGUUUUAUUGGUGAAUAACCCACACUUGUAUAAUCUCAGGAAUAUCUUAUAAAUAAUUAAAUAUGAUAAAUAAUUUAUUUGUUACACAAGAACUUGAUGCCACUGGCAAUGGUGAUUUUGAUUAUUUCAAAUUUCAGAUAGAAGGGUAGCUGAGUUUGAGUGGUGAAGAGGAAAGUGAUGAAGCUGCUUUUAAUGGAGAAUAGCAUUGGGAUCAAGGUGUUCAAUGAAGAUUGAAGAUUUAGGAUUUUUUUUUUCUCUCAGUCUUGAAGUUGAAAAAACUAAAUAAUUUCCUUCUCCCGUGAUUUCUCAUCAACAAAAUUUCAUAAGUCGCUUAUAAAUUCUGGAGCUGGCUUUUAUUUUUUGAGUCUUGAAAUUCUAAGGCAGGUGUGAAAUAGCUUUGCUGCUAUUAAAGACAUAUGAAAGAUUUGUUCAUGUUAUUGUCAUGCUAUGUUUAGUUCUUUUUCUUAGUUUUUCAAUGGGACGACAGACAAUUAUGUCCAUAGUUCAUAUGGAUUGUCUAUCAUUAGUAAGGUAACUUCUUUGUUUUAUUUUAUUAUUUUGUGGUUACUAGUUGUAUAGCGCGUGAAAUUGUUUGGUUCAA